UACGUAGGGAGCAAGCGUUGUCCGGAUUUACUGGGUGUAAAGGGUGCGUAGGCGGCUCUUUAAGUCGGGCGUGAAAGCUGUGGGCUCAACCCACAAAUUGCGUUCGAAACUGGAGAGCUUGAGUGAAGUAGAGGUAGGCGGAAUUCCCGGUGUAGCGGUGAAAUGCGUAGAGAUCGGGAGGAACACCAGUGGCGAAGGCGGCCUACUGGGCUUUAACUGACGCUGAGGCACGAAAGCAUGGGUAGCAAAC
rnacentral:rRNA from 1 species